rnacentral:rRNA from 1 species
GACGAGGGAUCCAAGCGUUGUUCGGAAUGACUGGGCGUAAAGGGUGCGACAGGCGGUCUGCUAAGACAGAGGUGAAAUCCCCGGGCUUAACCUGGGAUGGCCUAUGUGACUGGCAGGCUAGAGGAUGGCAGAGGGAGGCGGAAUGCCACGUGUAGCAGUGAAAUGCGUAGAGAUGUGGCGGAACACCGAUGGCGGAAGGCAGCCUCCUGGGCCAAUCCUGACGCUCAGGCACGAAAGCGUGGGGAGCAAACAGG